AGGCCCGUAGCUCAAUUGGUUAGAGCAUCAAUCUUAUACAUUGAACGUUACUGGUUCGAGUCCAGUCGGGCCUA
rnacentral:tRNA from 3 species